GUAAUUCAAGUAACAAAGAAUAACACAGUCAUUGUAGACUGCUUCAAGUAUGUGAAUCUCAUUGUAUCCAUGACCUGAAACACUAUAUACACCUUCCUCUUCUGUUUCAUCACAAAUGUAAGUCAGUUCAGCACACUCUCUGUUGAUC